rnacentral:tRNA from 1 species
CCCAUAGCUCAGUUGGUUAGAGCUCCCGGCUCAUAACCGGGCGGUCACUGGUUCGAAUCCAGUUGGGCC